rnacentral:rRNA from 1 species
AAUGAACGCUGGCGGCGUGCUUAACACAUGCAAGUCGUACGAGAAACCCCGGCUUGCCGGGGGAGUAAAGUGGCGCACGGGUGAGUAACGCGUGGGUAAUCUACCCUCGAAUUGGGGAUAACACACCGAAAGGUGUGCUAAUACCGAAUAAGACCACGACCUCCACGGGGGUUGCGGUCAAAGAUGGCCUCUGCUUGCAAGCUGUCGUUUGAGGAUGAGCCCGCGUACCAUUAGCUUGUUGGUGGGGUAAUGGCCUACCAAGGCAACGAUGGUUAGCUGGUCUGGGAGGAUGGCCAGCCACAAUGGAACUGGAACACGGUCCAGACUCCUACGGGAGGCAGCAGUGAGGAAUUUUGCGCAAUGGGGGAAACCCUGACGCAGCAACGCCGCGUGAGUGAAGAAGGCCUUCGGGUUGUAAAGCUCUGCCAAGUGGGAAGAACCUUUUUCGGCCGAAUACGCCGAGAAACUGACGGUACCGCUGAAGGAAGCACCGGCUAACUCCGUGCCAGCCGCCGCGGUAA